GAUGAAGAACGCAGCGAAAUGCGAUAAGUAGUGUGAAUUGCAGAAUUCAGUGAAUCAUCGAAUCUUUGAACGCACAUUGCGCCCUUUGGUAUUCCAAAGGGCAUGCCUGUUCGAGCGUCAUUUGUACCCUCAAGCUUUGCUUGGUGUUGGGCGUCUUGUCUCUAGCUUUGCUGGAGACUCGCCUUAAAGUAAUUGGCAGCCGGCCUACUGGUUUCGGAGCGCAGCACAAGUCGCACUCUCUAUCAGCAAAGGUCUAGCAUCCAUUAAGCCUUUUUUUCAACUUUUGACCUCGGGUCAGGUAGGGAUACCCGCUGAACUUAAGCAUAUCAUAAGCGGAGGA
rnacentral:misc_RNA from 1 species